AAACUUCAAAUACCACCUAUGUGGUUUCGCACUCUCUCACUUUAGUGUCCUGUAGUUUAAAGUGUAUCAAGUUAGUGUCAUGUGGUUUCAUUUUUAUUUUUUCAUCAGCUUUUCCGUUAAUAUUUUAUUAAAUUAUAUAUAAAAAACUUAAAAUAUCCCACCUAGAUUUAUCGAAUAUUUACUUUAGUACCCUUUAGUUUUAACUUUGUCACUGAUUUAAUGAAAAAAAUUAGUGGAAUCAAUAAUAAAAAGAUAAAAAUAAAAUUAUAGGACACUAAAUUGAUACACCUUAAAUCACAGAAUACUAAAGUAAAAAAAUAUAAAAUUACGGGGGGUGGUAUUUAA
rnacentral:lncRNA from 1 species